GAUGAACGCUGGCGGCGUGCCUAAUACAUGCAAGUCGAGCGAACGGACGAGAAGCUUGCUUCUCUGAUGUUAGCGGCGGACGGGUGAGUAACACGUGGAUAACCUACCUAUAAGACUUGGAUAACUUCGUAAACCGUAGCUAAUACCGGCUAAUAUUUUGAACCGCAUGGUUCAAAAGUGAAAUACGGUCUUGCUGUCACUUAUAGGUGGAUCCGCGCUGCAUUAGCUAGUUGGUAAGGUAACGGCUCACCAAGGCAACGAUGCAUAGCCGACCUGAGAGGGUGAUCAGCCACACUGGAACUGAGACACGGUCCAGACUCCUACGGGAGGCAGCAGUAGGGAAUCUUCCGCAAUGGGCGCAAGCCUGACGGAGCAACGCCGCGUGAGUGAUGAAGGUCUUCGGAUCGUAAAACUCUGUUAUUAGGGAAGAACAUAUGUGUAAGUAACUGUGCACAUCUUGACGGUACCUAAUCAGAAAGCCACGGCUAACUACGUG
rnacentral:rRNA from 1 species